AGUUCUGAAUGAAAUUGUUGUUUUCUGGAGUAAGUCAGCUUGUAAAUCAAUGGAGCUGUUUGGGAGGCUUUCUUUUAUUUAUCUUAUUUCGUAGCCUCCUUGCAUCACGACCACUAACUUCACCAUUGAUCCAUUCUUCCACGGGGUGUAUACCCGGUUCCUUUUCGGAGAGCAGCAAGCUCUUUGCUCUCCUACACACUAAACACCCUAACUUCCCAGCCUUGACAUCAAGCCAAGCAUUGUGGUCUUUCCAUUUGCCCACCUGCUUCAUUGUCUAACCAGCCAGCAGGUCACUUAUGUUAGCAGCCUCCUGACCUCUGUGUCCCUGUCAACUUCAACUUGACAUGGUUCUGGGGAUUGACUGGGCAGGAGAGGAACCCCAACUCACCUGUGCAUGUGCUAGUAGCUGCAGAGGCACCAGCAUUAGCUCCAGGUUGUAUGGGGUAAUGUUUUCUAACAGCAACAGUGCCACCCACAGAAGAAGGUCUUAUCAGAAAGAACCAGGUUUGACGGAAGAGAAUGUGGGUUCCCAGUGUCCCAGGAAGCUCUACACCAGUUUGAUGACAUUCUGCCAGCUCAGAGCAGUCUGUGUGUCGAUGAUAAUCUCCAAAUUCAUUUUGUGGACUUGGAGAGACAGAGUGGGCUAGCUCCACCAGUCAACUGAACAACUACUGUUGAGAAUUACAUAUCACCGAAAAAUACUUUAGCAUCUUCGGUUCCUAAUUCUGUAACAUUAGAUAUUUGUCUGGUAGACAUGCCUUUGUAACCUCUGCCAUGAAAGUUAAGUUUUCUCAAAAACUACUGGGUGGUUUGAUGUGCUAUUUGUGAGGCACAUUCAUGCUCCCAGGAGGGCAUUGACUUUAGGGGUCUUGUGAAUGUCCUUUAAGAGCUGCUUUUAAGAAGAAAAAGAUAUUAGGUAUUUAAGAAUAGAUUGGGGCAGAAAGCAAUUGCUGCAUUUUUAUGUGUUGAAACUUUUUUUUCUUGUGGCUACUUUCAAAUCAGUGGAGGUGGUUUGUUAAUUCUGAUAAACCACAUGAGGCACAACAAUGGAACCCAUAUACCUGUUUAAAUUCUUAUUGACUGUAUGUGAUUGUGGAUUUACAUGUUCUUAAUUAAAGGUUCCUUGAACUGA